GUGGAUUAGUGGCGAACGGGUGAGUAACACGUGAGUAACCUGCCCUUAACUCUGGGAUAAGCCUGGGAAACUGGGUCUAAUACCGGAUAGGAGCGCCCACCGCAUGGUGGGUGUUGGAAAGAUUUAUCGGUUUUGGAUGGACUCGCGGCCUAUCAGCUUGUUGGUGAGGUAAUGGCUCACCAAGGCGACGACGGGUAGCCGGCCUGAGAGGGUGACCGGCCACACUGGGACUGAGACACGGCCCAGACUCCUACGGGAGGCAGCAGUGGGGAAUAUUGCACAAUGGGCGCAAGCCUGAUGCAGCGACGCCGCGUGAGGGAUGACGGCCUUCGGGUUGUAAACCUCUUUCAGUAGGGAAGAAGCGAAAGUGACGGUACCUGCAGAAGAAGCACCGGCUAACUACGUGCCAGCAGCCGCGGUAAUACGUAGGGUGCGAGCGUUAUCCGGAAUUAUUGGGCGUAAAGAGCUCGUAGGCGGUUUGUCGCGUCUGUCGUGAAAGUCCGGGGCUUAACCCCGGAUCUGCGGUGGGUACGGGCAGACUAGAGUGCAGUAGGGGAGACUGGAAUUCCUGGUGUAGCGGUGGAAUGCGCAGAUAUCAGGAGGAACACCGAUGGCGAAGGCAGGUCUCUGGGCUGUAACUGACGCUGAGGAGCGAAAGCAUGGGGGAGCGAACAGGAUUAGAUACCCUGGUAGUCCAUGCCGUAAACGUU
rnacentral:rRNA from 1 species